AUUAGUUACUUACUAACAAAAUUAAGAGGAAUUAAUUAGUGAAGAUGGAUAAUUACAGUAGUCUGGCCAUGGUGAUGAUGAGAAAGUGGAGGGAAAUAGUAGGCAGUUUAUAUUCAAAAGUUGUCACCACCACCACCAAGCUACCUUUGCUUAGGUAUUACAUGGGUCGUUUCAGCUCCAUCCAAACUCCUCCUUCUGAACCAACUAAUUCGUCACAAGGCUUGAUGGUGGUUUCAAGAGCAACACCUCAGAAGCCAAAGCCAACCACUGGGAAAGGUCCUAAAGGCAACUAAUCAACAGACUAAACUUAGCUAAAUUAGUCCAAGAGUAGAUUGCUUAAUUCAAGUUGUAGCAAUAAAUAUAUAUAAUUAUUUUAUUUUUAUUUGGAGAUGAUGUAUUUAUGUAUGGCCAUUGAUAGGGAGUUUAUUAAAUAACAUUUGUGGAUGUAACUUGUGAAAUUUUUCUCUAUAUAACACGUCUUAAUUAAUAAUCAAAAGAAUGAUAAUAAUUUUCUUCACACUCCCA
rnacentral:lncRNA from 1 species